rnacentral:other from 1 species
GGAUAUCUGUGAUGUUCGCCGAGUGUUAAAUAGUGUUGACCGAACAAAUCGUCUUACCUUGGGAACUCAAACGUUACUAAGGAAAACAGGCCUUUUCUCUUGGUAGUUUGAGGUAGUAACUAGAGUUCCCACCUGCAUAUACAGCGGGUUCAACCUCACCACACUCAUUAACGGCAUCGACGGAUAUUCU